rnacentral:rRNA from 1 species
AGUGAACGCUGGCGGCAGGCCUAACACAUGCAAGUCGAGCGGCAGCGCGGGGGCAACCCUGGCGGCGAGCGGCGGACGGGUGAGGAAUUCGUCGGAAUCUGCCUUUUUGUGGGGGAUAACGUAGGGAAACUUACGCUAAUACCGCAUACGUCCUACGGGAGAAAGUGGGGGACCGCAAGGCCUCACGCAGAAAGAUGAGCCGACGACCGAUUAGCUAGUUGGUGGGGUAAAGGCCCACCAAGGCGACGAUCGGUAGCUGGUCUGAGAGGAUGAUCAGCCACACUGGGACUGAGACACGGCCCAGACUCCUACGGGAGGCAGCAGUGGGGAAUAUUGGACAAUGGGCGAAAGCCUGAUCCAGCCAUGCCGCGUGUGUGAAGAAGGCCUUCGGGUUGUAAAGCACUUUUGUCCGGAAAGAAAUCCCUGGAGCUAAUACCUUCGGGGGAUGACGGUACCGGAAGAAUAAGCACCGGCUAACUUCGUG